GUGUGCUUGCAUAUACGAUGUGAUGUGAGCUGGCGCAGUACACUACUUGGCGCAACAAGCUUCGAACGACAAAUGUUAAUUGAUUUUUUUUUCCCGCCGAGAAGUUGGCCCCGCCAAAUGUAGAUGGCGUUGCUGUGCCU
rnacentral:lncRNA from 1 species